AUUGAACGCUGGCGGCAGGCCUAACACAUGCAAGUCGAGCGAGAAAGGUCUUCGGGCUGAGUACAGCGGCGGACGGGUGAGUAACGCGUAGGAAUCUACCUGGUAGUGGGGGACAACAUGGUGAAAACCAUGCUAAUACCGCAUACGCCCUAUGGGGGAAAGCGGGGGACCUUCGGGCCUCGCGCUAUCAGAUGAGCCUGCGUAGGAUUAGCUUGUUGGUGAGGUAAAGGCUCACCAAGGCGACGAUCCUUAGCUGGUCUGAGAGGAUGAUCAGCCACACUGGAACUGAGACACGGUCCAGACUCCUACGGGAGGCAGCAGUGGGGAAUAUUGCGCAAUGGGCGAAAGCCUGACGCAGCCAUGCCGCGUGUGUGAAGAAGGCCCUUGGGUUGUAAAGCACUGUCAGGAGGGAAGAAUGAGCGGGUGGUUAAUACCCAUCUGCAGUGACGGUACCUCCAAAGGAAGCACCGGCUAACUCCGU
rnacentral:rRNA from 1 species